CCUGUGUUGUGUGCCCUAUCUUUGCAGCCAAUUCCAAAAGAUCAUGACUGAAAAUCUGGAUUUAGCAAAACAAAAUGAACCCUUUGACUGCAGGCAAACAACGCAGAUUCAGCCAGUCACACUUGGAUCUAUAAAUGCCCGUAAAACAAAGAAAGCCUUGUGUCCGUACCUAACCCUAACCCAGAGAACCAAGAUCACGGCCGACCAUCGCAAUAUGGACACCAACAAGGCCACUCCUGAUUUGAAACCCAGUGCGCAACCACCAAGCCCUGAAGACUUGAUGGAAGCCCGUCGAGUGGAUGAAAGACCGCCUCCGUCAAGCCUGCUGCCCAGCUCUUUUGCCCGGGCCUCAGCACCUCCACAAACCUGCCGUCCUCCCACGAAAGCACUUUCUUCCUUCUGAUGAGGGUGUAAUGGGGCAGGAACUUCAGGUCGAGCUGGUCCAGGCCUUGGGUCAACGACUUGGCAACCUUGCCCGGUGGCUGCGGUCCCUGCAGCGCCCCCCGGCGGGUUCGAGAACGUCUUCAAAUAGCAGUCCUCGAGGAAGACCAUCCACAGUGCACCCCCCCAGCACCGGAACGGUCCCCUCGAUGGACUCACAAAAUAGGGUAGGCGGUAGGGGUUAGACAGUGUUUAAGGAUAUAUGUGGUAAUGGAACAGGUAGGGGUUAGACAGUGUUUGGUUUUCGGGACUGAAGCCCAGGUUCCCGACCCCAGGAUCUGAGGUCGGGACUCUAGAUGGUGAAGGGGGACGUCUGAACCCGCGUGGUGAGCGGGGACGUCGGCCCCUGGGCGGUGAAUAUGUAGGUCUCUCCCUGGGUGGGUAUAGGUGGUCUCUCUCCCUGGACCCCAGGGAAGGCCGUCUAUAUCUGGGUGGUGUUGGUGGACGCCAGGUCCUCGGUGGUGGGUCCUUGCAGGUGGUUCCGCGGUGGUGUAUCGGGGCGUCGGCCUCUCGGUGGUGAUAAUUGGAAUUCAUCUCUUCUCCGUGGAUAUUGCCAUUCCUCCGAUCGGGGAUAUUGUGGCCUACCUCGUGGUGAGUGGAAACGAUCACGACGUCUCUUGUACCGCACCUCGGUCCACUCGCUCAUCUUGUUAGAGCGGUGAAAAGUAUCUAAAAAUUUUUUUUUGUCCUUCAAUAAUAAUAAACUAUUACCUAGUAAUAAUGAUUCAAUUCCUUGUGUUCCGUUUAUAAGAUAUUUAUUAUACUUUUACAAAAGACACGACGUUUCGACCUAAUGGGGUCUUCUUCAGGAGUGACAAUACAAGGUCAUUACCAUGGUAAUAGCUUUUUCCGUGUGACCUCCCGGGAGGAACAACUUCCGUGUUACGGAGAUCACAUUAUUAAAACAUACAAUACAAGAAUAGAAAUAAACAGCAAAAAAGGCAUAAUAUAUGGGCAAGUGUCGCCGUGUGAGUCGACAAAAAGACGCCAAUUGUGGCAUGAUGGUGCCCCCAGGUGGUUUGGAACCCGGUGGUGCAUGAAUACAUUGUUAAUUUAAACAAGUGGUAAUAUCAACAACAGUCAUGGAAUACAGUGGGUCCAACCGGACUUUAUUUGUAAAAAUUAAAAAACAAAAAACAUCAAACCAUUCAACUAUUUACAAUGUUGCUUAAUGUAAAUUGGGUUAUGGUUAAGGUAAGGAUUUGGUUUUAAGGUUUGUUAUUGCUAGGGUCUGGGUUAGGAUUGGGGUUAGGGUUAGGUUUUUAUAAUGACAUUCAGCUCUUGAUGGUCAUGGACCCUGGGUGCACUGGCACACCAUCUCCCAAUCCUUUCAUUUAAUUUUCUUCGGUUAUUUCUUUUUUUGGUAUUUUUCUUUUUUUUUUUUUUCAUUAAUAUUUUUCAUUUUUUUGUGUUCUUUUCUUUUUCUGUGAAGAGAAAAUAAAAAUAAAAUAAAAGCAGAGGAAGGGAAGGAAGAGCAGGGGGACCAGCAGUUGGGGUCUGAGGAGGCGCGGAGCAGUCUAUUUUGUACCCCAAGGGGGAUCAGAGGGAGCAGGGAGCCGUCACCGCCAGAGUGCCCAGGAGGCCGGGGCCCCGAGAGACCCCCCAUAAAGGGGUAGUCGGCGCAGCAAACGGGUCGAUAACAACACUUCUAGUUAAAAUGGUGCAUGCUAAAUAAUAAAAGUGGGGGAUCCAAGGAUCCUGCCCAUCAACCUUUCGUAUAAGUAUAUAUGCAAGAAUAAAAAUAAAGGAAAGAUAAAUAUAUAAAUAUAUAGAUAUAUAAAUAAGUACGCACUCAUACAUACUAGUCCAUUCACACUAAUAUUGUCAUCAAAUGGUGAGACAUUCGCAUGAAAAAUAUAUGUAUAAAAAAUAUAUAAAGGGAAAAAGAGGAGCAAGCUGCAAAGGUCAUACUAUUGUGUAAAAGAAGACACCAGGGGAAUAAAAUAUUAGAAAAGAGAGCACACGGGAGGGGUAAAAACAUGCAACACAUUAAAACGCACAGUCGACCCGAUGCCGCGCUAGAAGAAAACCCGGGGAGGAAUCCCGAGACAACCCAGCCCCCCCAGCAAUGGACAAGCGCGGACCCUACUCCCUGAUGUUAAGGCCCAAGGGGGUAACGGUCCUAAGUUUGGAUAUCCAUCUGUGCUCCGCUGCCUUCCUCUGUCUGUCCGACCAGCACGCCUUCAUCUCCAGCCCGGUGAUGAAUAAUGAGGGCUGGAGGUGGAGGCGAGCUGGUUGCAGAUAACCGCCAACUGCUGGAAAUGGCCUCGGUGUUGAGAGGGGGCGCCUCCAGUGUCCGUGGAGAAGCGGGCCUGCACCAGGGUUCCGGUUUUUCCUAAAAGCUGAAAUGAUUUUGUGAUUUUGAAGUGCGGGAAUGUUGUGUUGUGCGUGUGUGAAUGCGUUUUUCAGUUUGGAGUGUAUGUGUCUGAUGUUUUGUGUAUAUGUGCUGAUGAGGGGUAUGAUGCGUGUGUGUGGCUGCCGCCCUUUAACGUCUCCGCUCCUGAUGGCAGGGGUCCCCUCAGGGAACCUGUUUGGGAAGACCACCUGACUCAGGGAUCCAGGCACUCCUAGUGGAGGCCCCACCUCAGCCGGGCUGUGGAGGAUAGGGGCGGACACCAGGUCCGUCCCUCCAGUAUGAGGGAGCCGGCCAAGGUGAAUGUCGGGCCUGUCGGGGUCUGGGUACCGGAGGAGUGCAGAGCGGACAGCCCGCAGGCCGCAAUCUAUGUCGAUAUUGGUGUAUAGGGAAUCUAUAUCAAUUGAAAAUAAAAACGCUUGUGGAAACCGGUGUGUUAUUGAGUUUUUGGAUGAAGUGAUG
ensembl:lncRNA